CUAUAAAAGUUUUUUUAUGAAUUUUUAAUUUGUAAUUAAAAGGGUAUUGAUAGCUUU
rnacentral:tRNA from 1 species